AUGUUUAUUAAGAACACUUAUUGCAUCAGCAAUGUAGUUUGAGACAUACUGAGACACACUGUGCCAUGUAUCCUGUUAUGAACAGACUGCUUUAAUAUAGAUGUUCUGAGGUUGUCCUCCACACGUAUAUUUUUUCUGAAGUUGAAGACAGCUCUGACUUAAGUCAUAAUUUAGGUGUGGGUGAGAGGAUCCUUCUGGCUUCGUUUGAUCCAGCCGUUUUCCUCAAAGAUUCCUGCCAGCCAUCCUAUACCCUUGCAGUUCUGAUGAGGAGGAAAAUCCAGCUCUGAGAUGAGCAAGGAGCCCCAGUAUAAUCACUAAAUGAGCCUAGCAAGCAGCACCAACAUGACCUUGCAACUUUGCAAUCUUUCUCAUGGCAGCAAGAUCUGCAGGACACAGACUGAUGCCUGAGAUGGGAAGCAGCAGCCACUAAAGGACUCAAGAGCCUUGUUUAUCAAGAUAGCAGUGCUCUGCUCAGUUUGAUCCAGGUGGGACUAUCCAUCCUCCACUUGGGAAGAGUCCUGGUCCAGGACUGGAGGUAUUGGUAGCAGAGGGUUUUGAUGCUUUCUGUGAGCACCCAAGGCAUUUGCCUGCAGGAAGUUCCUUACACAGUAGCAGAACAGCAGGCAAUUGUUUCUAGAGAACAAGAAAUACCAGGGAGAGACCACCUCAAACAGUAGUGCUUCCACUUUUUACAUAUACUUCAAGUUCUGAGCAUGCAGAACUUACCCAUAUGAUCAUCACGCCUUGGUUGCACUCUGGACUUUCAGGUGAGUAGCAUGAGGCUAGAACAUCUACAGCGUUCCAAAAACAAAACAGGAGUCAGAAAUCAUAAAAUACUGCAGGAGCUCUAUGCCUGAGCUUUGUUCCCCUGUGUUCUGAUUCAGCUGUGCAGGAAGAAGUGAGAUAGUCCAUUUUUAAGCCAAUAAUAUUGCUUGUUCAUGAAAAUAAGAACUCCAGUAAAGACAGAGUUGCUAACAUUGGGAAUUUCUGUUCACUGAAAACUGACCUGAACCUAAAGGGCUAGCAGCAAAGUGAAAGAAUAAGUUAAAAAAUAAAAUCUUAGAAAAGACAAUUAAAACUUAAAUGUAUUCUCUGGAUUAUUAUUAUUUUUUUAAUUCCUCUUAAGUUGUGGAUUCUAUUUCAACUUUUUUUGAAUUUCUGGUGAUGAAAUUCCCAGUCAAAGUAAAUCCACUAUUCUUUGAUUUGUAAGAAAAAUUCUGUAUGAUGCAGAAAGCAGAAAAAUUACAUAAGAUAAACAUGGCAGUAGAGAUCAGUUAUUAAAAAAUAUAAAUUUAGUUGCUUUUUUUUCACUGUAAGCAUGACUCAAGGUAUACAGCCAUUGAUCACAGAAAAAAAUCCCUUCAUCAAAUAGCUGUAUUUGUCUUUGUUUUUCAAAGUAUUUCCAUAAGCAUGUCACAGUGGCGCUCUAAUGAAAUUUGUGUAAAGAUUUACCUUAUUUUAUCCUUCAUACAUGUAUGAAUUUUGAGUGAUGGGUUUGCAAAGCUGUUCAGAAUCUUGUACAAGCAGUCCUAGUGCUACCAAACAGGAAAGAAGAGCAGUUCUUGUAUUCCACUGAAAUCCUCUGAGCACAUAAGUAGAAGAAUAUUCCAGAAACGGGACUAGAGAAGCAAGAGCAGUCUUUCAUUUCUUCUGUGAAUCAAAUAGGAGAUUUUUAAAUUAAACUGUCAUGCAGUACAGGCAGAGAGCAGCAGGCAAGAGCUCUUCCAGCAAAACUUGGCUCCCCAAAACUAGCCAGACAUCUAACCAGGCCCCUAACAUUUGACUGCACA